GAUGAACGCUCGCGGCAGGCCUAACACAUGCAAGUCGAGGGAGGAGCUUUCGGGCUUCGACCGGCGUACGGGUGCGUAACGCGUAUACAAUCUGCCUUUCACAUAGGGAUAGCCCGAAGAAAUUUGGAUUAAUACCUAAUGGUAUAUAGAGGUGGCAUCACCUUUACAUUAAAGCUGAGGCGGUGAAAGAUGGGUAUGCGUUCUAUUAGCUAGUUGGAGAGGUAACGGCUCCCCAAGGCGACGAUAGAUAGGGGUUCUGAGAGGGAUAUCCCCCACACUGGUACUGAGAUACGGACCAGACUCCUACGGGAGGCAGCAGUGAGGAAUAUUGGACAAUGGUCGGAAGACUGAUCCAGCCAUGCCGCGUGCAGGAAGACGGCCUUAUGGGUGGUAAACUGCUUUUGCAGGGGAAGAAUAAGGACUACGCGUAGUUUGAUGACGGUACUCUGCGAAUAAGCAUCGGCUAACUCCGUG
rnacentral:rRNA from 1 species